GAUCUGGCAACACUGAUAUUGAGUAGUUAAGUUUCUAUGGUAUGAAAUUGUCAUUCGAAAUCUAAGUAGGCAUGCAAAGGAUUGUAUGAUUUUGGGUUUUCGAGAAAAAAUAAAAAGAAUUAAAUUGAAAAACGAUUAAACUUAAAACUGUGUGUGUUUGUGAACCGCGGGUCAUUACAUUGGCGACGAAGCGAAAAGACAUUAAAUUGUCGGCGUUGACUGAUAAUAGUCAUCUGAAAAAAGGAAAGAAGAAAUAUAUAAGGAGAACUUGGGACAUUAAAUUGUCGGGACAUUAAAUUGUCAGAACAUUAAAUUGCAGGACA